AGCUUUGCGCAGUGUCAGUAUCGUAGCCAAUGAGGUUUAUCUGAGGCGCGAUUAUUGCUAAUUGAAAAGGUAAAUAUAUUUCAAUCUUUGAAUCUCCAACUUACAAAGCAAUGAUUACCUUCUACUAAAAA
rnacentral:snRNA from 1 species